GACGAACGCUGGCGGCGUGCUUAACACAUGCAAGUCGUACGGUAAGGCCCUUUCGGGGGUACACGAGUGGGGAACGGGUGAGUAAGACGUGAGUAAGCUGCCUACAACUUUGGGAUAACGCUAGGAAACUGGUGGUAAUACUGGAUAUGUGGCCCUGCUGCAUGGUGGGGGUUGGAAAGCUCCGGCGGUUGUGGAUGGACUCGCGGCCUAUCAGCUUGUUGGUGGGGUAGUGGCCUACCAAGGCGGCGACGGGUAGCCGGCCUGAGAGGGUGACCGGCCACAUUGGGACUGAGAUACGGCCCAGACUCCUACGGGAGGCAGCAGUGGGGAAUAUUGCACCAUGGGCGCAAGCCUGAUGCAGCAACGCCGCGUGCGGGAUGACGGCCUUCGGGUUGUAAACCGCUUUCAGCAGGGACGAAGCUUUUUGUGACGGUACCUGCAGAAGAAGCACCGGCUAACUACGUG
rnacentral:rRNA from 1 species